UACAGAGGGUGCAAGCGUUGUUCGGAAUUAUUGGGCGUAAAGCGCGUGUAGGCGGUGAUGCAUGUCGGGUGUGAAAGCCCCCAGCUCAACUGGGGAAGUGCGCCCGAAACUGCAUCGCUAGAGUGUCGGAGAGGGUGGCGGAAUUCCCGGUGUAGAGGUGAAAUUCGUAGAUAUCGGGAGGAACACCUGUGGCGAAAGCGGCGCACUGGACCACAACUGACGCUGAGGCGCGAAAGCUAGGGGAGCAAACAGG
rnacentral:rRNA from 1 species